GAUAAACGCUGGCGGCGUGCCUUACGCAUGCAAGUCGAACGGCGUCCUUCGGGGCGCAGUGGCGGACGGGUGAGUAACACGUACGUAACCUGCCAUGAAGUGGGGGAUACCCGCGCGAAAGUGCGGCUAAUACCGCAUGUGGUCACACGGGAGACCGGGUGAGUAAAGGCGCAAGCCGCUUCAUGAGGGGCGUGCGGCCGAUUAGCUAGUUGGUGGGGUAAGGGCCUACCAAGGCGACGAUCGGUAGCUGGGCUGAGAGGCCGGACAGCCACACUGG
rnacentral:rRNA from 1 species